rnacentral:rRNA from 1 species
AGUGAACGCUGGCGGUAGGCCUAACACAUGCAAGUCGAACGGCAGCACAGGAGAGCUUGCUCUCUGGGUGGCGAGUGGCGGACGGGUGAGGAAUACAUCGGAAUCUACACUGUCGUGGGGGAUAACGUAGGGAAACUUACGCUAAUACCGCAUACGACCUACGGGUGAAAGCAGGGGACCUUCGGGCCUUGCGCGAUUGAAUGAGCCGAUGUCGGAUUAGCUAGUUGGCGGGGUAAAGGCCCCCCAAGGCGACGAUCCGUAGCUGGUCCGAGAGGAUGAUCAGCCACACUGGAACUGAGACACGGUCCAGACUCCUACGGGAGGAAGCAGUGGGGAAUAUUGGACAAUGGGCGCAAGCCUGAUCCAGCCAUACCGCGUGGGUGAAGAGGGCCUUCGGGUUGUAAAGCCCUUUUGUUGGGAAAGAAAUCCAGCUGGCUAAUACCCGGUUGGGAUGACGGUACCCAAAGAAUAAGCACCGGCUAACUUCGUGCCAGCAGCCGCCGUAA